AAGCAUGCCAUGGGUGUGGUUCCUUGAAAAGCCAAUGCAAUGAAUCUUGAGGUGGAUUACUUUGAAGGCAGAAAUGAUAUGCAGUCAGAAGAUACCUUAUGACUUUCACUUCCUUUUAUCAAUGACCACAGUUUUGAUGCAACAGAAUACAGAAACUAUGUCUUGGCCAAUUUUUCUUUCUAAGAUACAGCCGUACAGCAGGUAAGUACCUUGAUAACAGUUUUGAUGGGCAUUGGUUCAGUAAUGCUAUUUCUGUAGUUAAUUUAAAAAAAAACAACACAAAGGAAGAAGAAACAAAGGAAAUUGUUCAAGUCAGUGUGGUUUGAUUUUAAAAUUCUGUUGGUCCCAUACUGAACAGGCAGUGCAGACAGCUUAACAGCUUGGAGAGAGUGACAACAGAAUGCCUCCGAGAUUCCAGGCCACCUUGCCAUAAAACGUUACCCAGUGUAAAUUUGUUUCUUUGUGAUUUAGGUUACUCAUUUAAGGCAUUUUGUUGAAAAAUUUUUCUCUGAAUUUUAUCUAGUGUGAAACAAACCAACAAACAAGUUUAUCAACCUCACAGAGAUUUUUGCAAUUAGAAGUUGGUUUUGGAGCAUCUUCAGCAGGAAGUGAGAAGACAGCUUGCUACCAUAGGCAGAGGGCAGCUUGAAGAAAGACAAAACUCCUGUUUGGAGACUCCCCAACACAGGUGUAUAAUCAGGAAAAUGAGCAAUGGAAGAGUCCAGUACUACAUUCCAGUAUUGGGCUGGUUUCUGUAUUGUUUGCUUGUUUUUUACUUUUUCCCCAGUGUGUGAAAGAACCUAACAAAAAGCUUCUGAGUGCAAUUAUAUUUACAGAGUAAGGCCGUGGUUAGGGUGUGUCUUCAUUGUAAUUAUUGUGUAACAUAAAUAUCCAUCCCUGAGAAAGGAGAAGGGGGACACAAAUCCAACACAGUUGAUUUUUAAGUGUAUGUAUGCUUAUGUUGUGCAAUCCGGUUUUACAAACUACUUCAACACCUGAGGUGAAUUAAGCAGAUUUUUUUCCUUUUUUUUUUUAGAUUUUUUUCAUUUUCUUAUAAAGAAUAAUGAAGAGGAUCCAUAAAUGGUUGCAAAAUAUAUGAAAUAUUGAGACAGCAGGAGUUACUAAGUGUAACAGGUUUGUCUGUCCAUGAGGUUAGAAUAGCCACUUGUGUGGUUGGGUAAAGAAAAUCUAACUAAAAAUUGCAG
rnacentral:lncRNA from 1 species